rnacentral:tRNA from 1 species
GCUCUUAUCAUCUAGUGGCCUAGGAUACCAGGUUCUCAUCCUGGAUACACGAGUUCGAAUCUCGUUAAGAGCA